rnacentral:rRNA from 1 species
GAUGAACGCUGGCGGCGUGCCUAAUACAUGCAAGUCGAGCGAACAGACGAGGAGCUUGCUCCUCUGGCGUUAGCGGCGGACGGGUGAGUAACACGUGGAUAACCUACCUAUAAGACUGGGAUAACUUCGGGAAACCGGAGCUAAUACCGGAUAAUAUAUUGAACCGCAUGGUUCAAUAGUGAAAGACGGUUUUGCUGCCACUUAUAGAUGGAUCCGCGCCGCAUUAGCUAGUUGGUAAGGUAACGGCUUACCAAGGCAACGAUGCGUAGCCGACCUGAGAGGGUGAUCGGCCACACUGGAACUGAGACACGGUCCAGACUCCUACGGGAGGCAGCAGUAGGGAAUCUUCCGCAAUGGGCGAAAGCCUGACGGAGCAACGCCGCGUGAGUGAUGAAGGUCUUCGGAUCGUAAAACUCUGUUAUUAGGGAAGAACAAAUGUGUAAGUAACUAUGCACGUCUUGACGGUACCUAAUCAGAAAGCCACGGCUAACUACGUG